GAUCCUGCCAGUAGUCAUAUGCUUGUCUCAAAGAUUAAGCCAUGCAUGUCUCAGUACAAGCUACAAUAAAGUGAAACCGCGAAAGGCUCAUUAAAUCAGUUAUGGUUCCUUAGAUCGUACCCACAUUUACUUGGAUAACUGUGGUAAUUCUAGAGCUAAUACAUGCAAACAGAGCCCCGACCGGAGACGGAAGGGGUGCUUUUAUUAGAUCAAAACCAAUCGGCGUCAGUAGCGUUUCGGCGUUGCUGUUCGUCGCAAUGUUUGGUGACACUGAAUAACUUUUGGCUGAUCGCACGGUCUAGCACCGGCGACGCAUCUUUCAAAUGUCUGCCUUAUCAACUGUCGAUGGUAGGUUCUGCGCCUACCAUGGUUGUAACGGGUAACGGGGAAUCAGGGUUCGAUUCCGGAGAGGGAGCCUGAGAAACGGCUACCACAUCCAAGGAAGGCAGCAGGCGCGCAAAUUACCCACUCCCGGCACGGGGAGGUAGUGACGAAAAAUAACGAUACGGGACUCAUCCGAGGCCCCGUAAUCGGAAUGAGUACAAUUUAAAUACUUUAACGAGUACCUAAUGAAGGGCAUGUCUGGUGCCAGCAGCCGCGGUAAUUCCAGCUUCAUUAGCAUAUAU
rnacentral:rRNA from 1 species